UACGGGGGGGGCAAGCGUUGUUCGGAAUUACUGGGCGUAAAGGGCUCGUAGGUGGCCAACUAAGUCGGACGUGAAAUCCCUCGGCUUAACCGGGGAACUGCGUCCGAUACUGGUUGGCUUGAGUUUGGGAGAGGGAUGCGGAAUUCCAGGUGUAGCGGUGAAAUGCGUAGAUAUCUGGAGGAACACCGGUGGCGAAGGCGGCAUCCUGGGGCCUUACCUGACGCUGAGGCGCGAAAGCUAGGGGAGCAAACAGG
rnacentral:rRNA from 1 species